rnacentral:rRNA from 1 species
UACGCAGGGUGCAAGCGUUAAUCGGAAUUACUGGGCGUAAAGCGUGCGUAGGCGGUUUGUUAAGUCUGUUGUGAAAUCCCCGGGCUCAACCUGGGAAUGGCAAUGGAUACUGGCAGGCUAGAGUGUGUCAGAGGAUGGUGGAAUUCCCGGUGUAGCGGUGAAAUGCGUAGAGAUCGGGAGGAACAUCAGUGGCGAAGGCGGCCAUCUGGGACAACACUGACGCUGAGGCACGAAAGCGUGGGGAGCAAACAGG